GCCGCUUUAGCUCAGUUGGCAGAGCAGCUGUCUUGUAAACAGCAGGUCGUCGGUUCGAGUCCGACAAGCGGCUCCA
rnacentral:tRNA from 1 species